rnacentral:rRNA from 1 species
GAUGAACGCUGGCGGCGUGCCUAAUACAUGCAAGUCGAGCGAACGGACGAGAAGCUUGCUUCUCUGAUGUUAGCGGCGGACGGGUGAGUAACAUGUGGAUAACCUACCUAUAAGACUGGGAUAACUUCGGGAAACCGGAGCUAAUACCGGAUGAUAUUUUGAACCGCAUGGUUCAAAAGUGAAAGACGGUCUUGCUGUCACUUAUAGAUGGAUCCGCGCUGCAUUAGCUAGUUGGUAAGGUAACGGCUUACCAAGGCAACGAUGCAUAGCCGACCUGAGAGGGUGAUCGGCCACACUGGAACUGAGACACGGUCCAGACUCCUACGGGAGGCAGCAGUAGGGAAUCUUCCGCAAUGGGCGAAAGCCUGACGGAGCAACGCCGCGUGAGUGAUGAAGGUCUUCGGAUCGUAAAACUCUGUUAUUAGGGAAGAACAUAUGUGUAAGUAACUGUGCACAUCUUGACGGUACCUAAUCAGAAAGCCACGGCUAACUACGUG